rnacentral:misc_RNA from 1 species
GUAGGUGGUUCGCCUACCAAACCAGAGAGUCAGCACUGCUGGCUACACUUCUACUGUGCUGGAAACCACUGAUGUGCUACCAGCAGCCCGAGCAAUUGGGUUCACAGGUCAAAUAGACGUGGCCCCUACCUGGGGUUAAGAUAUGAUCGGACUGCACCGUCACCGGCUGCAGAGACUCGGAACCUGCGGAAGGAUCACUAAAGAGAACCUGCCCUCUGGGUAGAUCUCCCACCCUUUGUCUAUUAUACUU